GCCUCGGUGGCUCAGGCGGAAGAGCGGCUGACUCGUAAUCAGCAGGUCGGGGGUUCAAAUCCCUCCCGAGGCU
rnacentral:tRNA from 1 species